CCUACGGGAGGCUGCAGUGAGGAAUAUUGGUCAAUGGACUAGAGUCUGAACCAGCCAAGUAGCGUGAAGGAUGACUGCCCUAUGGGUUGUAAACCUCUUUUAUAAAGGAAUAAAACGAGCCACGUGUGCCUUUUUGCAUGUACUUUAUGAAUAAGGAUCGGCUAACUCCGGGCCAGCAGCCGCCGUUAUUCGGAGGAUUCGAGCGUUAUCCGGAUUUAUUGGGUUUAAAGGGAGCGUAGAUGGGUUGGUAAGUUAGUCGUGAAAGUUUGGGGCUCAACCGUAAAAUUGCAAUUGAUACUGGCGGUCUUGAGUAGAGUGGAGGUAGGCGGAAUUCGUGGUGUAGCGGUGAAAUGCUUAGAUAUCACGAAGAACCCCGAUUGCGAAGGCAGCUUACUAAACUGUGACUGACAUUGAUGCUCGAAAGUGUGGGUAUCGAACAGGAUUAGAUACCCCGGUAGUC
rnacentral:rRNA from 1 species